rnacentral:rRNA from 1 species
UACGGAGGGUGCAAGCGUUAUCCGGAUUCACUGGGUUUAAAGGGUGCGUAGGUGGGCAGGUAAGUCAGUGGUGAAAUCUCCGGGCUUAACCCGGAAACUGCCGUUGAUACUAUUUGUCUUGAAUGUCGUGGAGGUGAGCGGAAUAUGUCAUGUAGCGGUGAAAUGCUUAGAGAUGACAUAGAACACCGAUUACGAAGGCAGCUCACUGCGCGAAUAUUGACACUGAGGCACGAAAGCGUGGGGAUCAAACAGG